CUGGGCUUAAGCGUGUGUAGGCGGGUCGUUAAGUACCUUGUGAAAUCCCACGGCUCAACCGUGGAACUGCUUGGUAUACUGGCGAUCUUGAGCCACCUAGGGGCGAGCGGAACAGAUGGUGGAGCGGUGAAAUGCGUAGAUAUCAUCUGGAACGCCAAUGGUGAAAACAGCUCGCUGGGGGUGUGCUGACGCUGAGACACGAAAGCCAGGGGAGCGAACGGGAUUAGAUACCCCGGUAGUCCUGGCCCUAAACGAUGUCCACUAGAUCGAAGUGCCUCUGACGGUAUUUCGGUCGAAGCAAAAGUGCUAAGUGGACCGCCUGGGAAGUACGGUCGCAAGGCUAAAACUCAAAGGAAUUGACGGGGGCUCACACAAGCGGUGGAGCAUGUGGUUCAAUUCGAAGCAACGCGCAGAACCUUACCUGGGCUUGACAUGCUAGGAUUAUCCCUAUGAAAGUAGGGUAGGCCCUUCGGGGUACAACUAGUACAGGUGCUGCAUGGCUGUCGUCAGCUCGUGUCGUGAGAUGUCGGGUUAAGUCCCUUAACGAGCGAAACCUUUGCCCUUAGUUACUAACGGGUUAUGCCGAGGACUCUAAGGGGACUGCCGGUGUCAAACCGGAGGAAGGUGGAGA
rnacentral:rRNA from 1 species